rnacentral:lncRNA from 1 species
GAGCUGUUGCUGCGCACCGGUGCGUGAAGGUGUAGAGGUGCUGUCUGGGCCUAGCUUCGCCGCCGGUGGGGCGCCAGCCGACGAGUCGCGCCGCCCCCUGUUGCGCGCGCGUUUUGGCGGGAGGAGGAAGAAGCUCCUGGGCGCUCGGGCCCGCGUGGCAGAGAGAGGAAGGAGAGGAAGGGGAGAAGGGGGCCGGGCGCGCGGCCGUCUGGUGGGCUGCGGCCUUGAGGCCCAGUAGCGUGCGCGCGGGCAACCGGAAGAAAAAAAGGGCGAAGGCCCAGAGAUCCAGCAGGCCGGUUUCGCGGGAAAAGAAGAAAAGAAAGGAUGGGCCGUUGGGCCGAUGUUGGACCAGAGAAAAGAAAAGAAAAAGAGAAUCGGCCCACGAGGCCCGUUAAGGGAAGAAUGGGGCCGGCGGGUAAGUGGAGCAGUGUUUAGGUGGGUCCGCACCAUGGGACCCAGUGCGCAUGAGAGGGGGUAGAGUGGGGCUGGGUAAGAAAAGUUUUUCCGGGUAUUUUUCGGGAAAAUUAGAUAUCCUUUAGGAAAGUAAUUAGUUUAAAUCCGUUUUACACCAUUUAAAUCACAGAAAUUUCUAGGAGUGUCCAAAAUUAGUGAAACCAAUUUUGUUAGGCUUGUUUUAUUUCCUUUAUGCAUUAAAAUUUUUACACCCUAGAAAAAUAAUAAAAAUUUGGGUAUUUAUUUAAUGCCUUCUUUUUAAGGUAAUUAAAUAAAUACUUAAUAUUUAUAAAAUAUAUAAAAUAUGAAAUAACACUUUAUUAAUCACAAAUUAUUCUUAACUCAUAGGAAAUUAGAUUUUCAAGUUAGAAAAUAAUUAUGACUUUUUCUAAAGAUAAAAGAAAAAGCUAUAAGGAGGGUUAAGUAAGAAAAAUAAAAUUGUGGGUUUAUGUGUGUUGGCUUGCAACUUUAUCAUGAUAGGUUGUAUAGUCCUUGUUGGCUUGCAACUUUAUCAUGAAGGAAAGUUGCAUAGUCUUUUAUUCAAAAUUUUGCAUUUCUAACCCCUGCAUGUAUUAUGCUAUAGAUCCCGAAGCACCAGAAGGAGAAUAUUUGGAAUUUUCAGAAGGACCUUCGGAGUUCGAAGAAGUUUUUGAGUUAGUCCCCUGUGAAGCCAACCCGUCAUAGAAUACUAACUUUUUAAGCGAACAAGGCAAGCCCCGGUGCAUUUAUACCUAUCUAUUUUGGAGUUGUUAUUUCAUGUGUCUAAUUAUCGGUUAUUUGCUUUAUGUAUGCACUAAGUCUAGGAGUUGCUUGAAACCUAUUCUUGUGUAUGAUCAUACGUUGCUUUAAGGACAUCUUUGCCACUUGUUCAAACCUUAGAAGAUAACCAAAGUCUAGAAAUGCUUAGUUGCUUAAAUGCUUGGUUUACCAACCUUAAGGAAAACUUUUGAGUCAUACAUGUUGCUUAUGAAAAUAGCUUGGAAAGUUGAAAGCGGACAGAAACUAGAGGUGUAGUAUUGUCUGCUAGAUUAAUUCGGUUAAGGCCCGAUUCGUUGUCUUAACCUUUGAUCAAGUGAUAAGCAUAUGAUCACUUACUGGGUAUGGGACCAGUAAAGCCCAGUAGGUUAGUAAACUCUAUGAUUAGGAAUACUUCGUACUCGCGCUUGACGUGCUGGAGAUUGGCAGGGGUGUAGCCUGAAACUCACAUGGUGAUCAGGCCAGACGUGGGGUCCCAUGUGGGGGUGCAUCCCUGGGUUCGGGUAGUCGUAUUCCUAAUCAUUGAUUUUGCUAAUCGAGAGGUUGUUAGAUAUGACCUGGACAGUCGUAUAAAGCUGGUGAUCAGGGUACUCUCCUGCAGGAUGUAACUAGAUCCAGAUCACCGCAAUUCUCGGUUAUGAAUGCACUUGAUCACUAUUGAGCAUCGUAGUAUCAAUUCAUGCAAUAUAUAUACACCUUUGGUUGAUAUUUGAUGUAUGACUUAACAUCUAUGGUUGUUUUUACUUUCUGUUAUCAUUUAGAAUGGUUAGGUAAUAACUUAACCCAAAUAAAAGAUAAAACUAAGGCAUUACUCAUAGUAAGCUUUUCGGCAAAAGUUAUGUUAGCCAAACACACCCAAAAGCUAGCAUGCAUUCCAAAGAAAACUAUUAUAUUGGUUAGUCGGGUAAGACUUGUUGAGUACCCCGUACUCAGGGUUUUCCCCUUGUGGCUAUCUUUCAGAAGCUCCGCAGGAGUCUACAGAGGAGGAGACCCCGAAGUCCUAGGGUAUUGUCCUGAGUCUCACAAUACCCCUAGAAAAGAAGUUUUACAUGCGCAUCUUCUCCUGAACUGUUUAAAUCUUAGAACUCUGUCUAACACUGCACUGUUAAGUUUGUUUCAAUCUAUGUUCUGUAAUAACUCGUACCUUUUAUAUGUAUGUAAAAAUGUAAUGUUUGUUGAUGUUAUCCCAUCGCGGAUACUAUCCUGAUGUAUGGCUAUGAGAUACGUCGUGGAUCCUUCGAGGAGUCCUAGGGACACUCGACGGACUACCGGACUUAUGCUGUUUAGGUGCGUUUCGGAUAAUUGCUGUUCCGACAGCGAUUAGGCGCACUUAAACCAGCUUAAGUUGGGCGGUUCCACCACAGCUGGUAUCAGAGUCGUAGGUUGGGAUAAUCAACAGAUAUUACCUUUUAAAAACUGAGGCUCUACUUUAAAAUAAUAAAAACAAGAGUCACAGGUGGCAAUAGUGUUAACUGGUUGUUUGUUUUGCAGAUGCUAACUGUUUGCUGCGUAUCGCUAGUAUUCGGUAGUCUGUUAUUUAGGGAGAGAUUACGAUGCCACCAAUUUUCCUACGAGUGUGUAUAUGAGUCUGAAAGUACGUAGGAAUCGUUGCAUCAUGUUUGCAUUGCAUGUUUCAAAACUUUUGGGUUUGGUGAGUGCCGUUAGACCUGAUCCUGUUUCUUUUAUAGGAUGUUUGAAGAAGGCUACACUGAUAAGGAUGGAUGGACCCGCGGCCAUUACUUGGAUAAGCCGGGAUUCGUGCAUUUGCUUUGGAAAACGCUACAAGAAUUGGGCUUUCACAAUCCCCCGGAAUAUUAUUGAAGGAAAGAAGAUACAGGCCACAAACAAUAUUGCACUGUGUAUGUGCAUAUUCCGGAUGAUGACACCCGUCCCAAUUAGCGUCUGGAGGAGGUGAUGGAGUUGGGUUUUGAGUUCAUCGACACCAUAGAAAGGGCGGCUAUGACUGCUCUUACUGAAUUCACAAGGUGGAGGUAGGGUCGAGCUCCGCUCGGUUCUACCCUAUCAAGCAUCAAGAUGACGGGAUAUGGAGGAGAAAGAUUAAAGCUUUGAAGAACACUUCUAGAGUAGAGCACGAUGUUUUGGUUGCUGCUGCUUCUGAUUAUAUGACAGCUAUGUACAACUUGCAUCAAGCCUGCAUCAGAGAAUAUUAUAACCAGAGGCAGAAGAAUGAAGACGCUAAGAUGGAGUUGAUGGGUGCCCGACAUGACAAGGAGAUGUACAAAAAGGCGGCGUUGGCAAGAGAGCAUGACAUGGAGAAAACGAUGAGAGAGCAAUCCAGAAGAAUUGAGGAUUAUGAAGAAAAACUCAGAGUGAUGCAAGGGUUCAUUGAAGCCACCAGGAGCAUGGCAGAUAGAGCGAGGGAGGAAGCUGAAUCAAAUGUCAAUAGGUUGGAAGCGGAAAGAUUCCAACAGCUAGACGAGAUCCUGUCACUUCGUCUAGCUUUGGAAGAGAUGCAGGCCCAGGUACCUGCACAAAAUAUUAUCAAUGUUCCACCGCCUCCACCACCAGAAGAGCCUCAGCCACCGAACCCGGAGGAAGCGGAUCAAUUAGUACCUGUGGUAGAAGUGGAAGAAGAUCCGGUUCCACCUGCAGUUCCUGAGAUAGAUCUGUAUGCUCAUGAGAAUCUGGAGGGAUUUGACGUGGAUAUGGAGGACGACCAGGGUGAAGCCCCUGCGGGAAAUCAACAGUUCGCUUAGGCUAAUGCCAAUGCUGAUGGGCUAGAUCCUCAGGGCUAUGGACCCAUGCAGCAAUGGGAAGAAGAGGAACCAGAAGGCGGAGAAGAAGAAGAGGAUCCUGAAGAAAUGGAAGGAAACUCUGGAGUUAGCACCUCCGCAUCUGAUACUUCCUACACUUUGAGCGACCCCAGGCUGGAGUCCGGAAGUGAAAAUUCAGUCAAUUAAGCCCCACCCGUCGCUCUCCCAGGGCAAACAUUGAUGACAGUAGACCAAGAUAUCCUGCAGGCGGCAAUGGCUCAACUGGGACUAAAUGCCGAGGAACUAGGCAUUUUCCCCUAUGAUGGUUGAAGUGAACUUUGUCUGAAAAAUGUUGUAAUAUAUUUAUGUAAGAUAUGUGUGUUGGACAAGUAGUAUGGAGGUUUUUGUAAAAAGUAACUCCAGGGCAUGUAUUAUAAAUAAGUAUGUGUAUAAGUAUGGUUUGUGUGUGAUCGUACUCGAUGUGUGACAUAAUAGUGUGCAGGAAACCGUUGAUAAAUUGUACCCUAGAUAUUAAUAUCCUGUUUACUCUUGGCAGCAUGACGGAUCCCAGAGGACCACGAGCUUCAGGUUCCGGAGGUCAGGAGGAGAAUUUACCAAGAGCACCCACGCUGGCAGAUGCUAUAGCCAGCCUUAUGAACUCCGGGGCAGAACAGGCCCGAUUACUCCAGAUGAUCGUACAGAACACUGGUAAUGGUGGACAUAGGCGGGAUCCGGAGCGGGGUGUGUCCUACACCCAAUUUCUGGAAACCCGUCCCCCAAUAUUCUUGAAGGCCGAGCAUCCACUUGAAGCUAACGAAUGGCUUCAGACUAUGGAACAAAAGUUUCGAGUAAUUCCCCAAUGCACCACCACUCAAAAAGCUGAAUUUGCAGGGCUCCAGCUUCAAGGUCCCGCAGGGACCUGGUGGACCAGCCAUCUAGCCAGGCAGCCAGUUGGAAGGGAGGUUACGUGGGAGAAUUUUAAGGAAGCCUUCCGGACACAGUUUGUGCCGGAAGGUAUCAUGAGAAUGAAACUGGAACAGUUCUUAGGGCUGCAACAAGGAAACCGUAGUAUUCUGGAAUAUACCAGUGAAUUCGACUACCUAGCCCAAUAUGCACCAGAACAUGUCAACACUGAGUCCAGGAAGAGAGAUUGCUAUCUUCGAGGACUCAACGGAAGAAUGCAGGAAAAGUUGUCCACCUACACUUUCGCCGACUAUAGCUCUGCGGUAAGUACGGCCAUUACCGUGGAAGAAAAGAUGAGAAUUUUGGAUGAAACCUUGAAGAAAGAAGAAGCAUUGAAAAGGAAAAAUAUUCCUUUUGGCAACUUUGGGAAUGCUCCACAGAGAAUGAAGAUGGUAUAUCGAGGUCCUCCUCGACCCAUGUAUCGACCUUCCUUUCAGCAACGGCCUUUCCAAUCUUGGAAUGCUAGAGCUCCCAGUGCUGCCCCUCAUCCUGGAAUUGCACCACCUCUUGGGUUUCGUAACCCUACUCCUCCAGGAACUCCACAGGUUUGUUUCAACUGUGGAAAGCCAGGACACUUCGCCCGGGACUGUCGUUUUCCCAAGGUUGGGGGAAACGCAAACUUAAGGGCUCAGACCUCGGGCCAAGGCACUGGACAAAGGUUUGUCCGUUGUAAGUUCGUCAACACCAAGACGGGACAAGCUCAUUAUAUGAAUGUAGAAGAAAUUCCAGAAGGAGAGCCUAUCCUGGCAGGUAUGUAUCUUGUUAAUGAUUAUCCUGCCAUGGUUUUAUUUGAUUCAGGCGCAUCGCAUACUUUUAUAAGUAGAAGAUUUGUCACACAACACCAACUAGAGGUCCAUACAUUAAAUGUCAAGUACGCUAUUCAAGCUACUGGGGCCACACAGAAUACAAAUCAAGUAGCUCGCAAUGUGAUUUUAAACCUAGAAGGAAAUAAGGUGGGUGCUUAUCCUUUAAUUCUGGAAGAUCAAGGAAUAGAUCUUAUUUUGGGAGUAAAUUGGAUGAAGGAACAUAGAGUUCAAAUUGAUAUGAUUAAUCAGGUCGUUAGCAUGAAAGAUGACCAAGGCCACUCUUUUGAGCUCCAAUUACCCGCUCAUCCUUGUUUGGACCAGAUGGUCAAAAAGACUAGAGCAGUAACUCUAGAAUCUAUUCCUGUGGUUAAUGAGUUUAUAGAUGUAUUUCAAGAGGAUCUGCCUGGGCUACUGCCUGAUAGAGCGGUAGAAUUCACUAUUGAGUUAGAACCCGGCACCGCUCCUAUCUCUAGAAGACCAUAUUGAAUGCCACCUAAGGAGCUAGCAGAAUUAAAAAUACAACUCCAAGAACUGUUGGAUAAGGGUUUUGUCCGACCUAGCACUUCACCAUGGGGCUGCCCGGCUCUAUUUGUUAAAAACAAGGAUGGCACAUUAAGGCUAUGUGUGGAUUACCGCCCUUUGAAUGCAGUAACCAUUAAAAACAAGUAUCCGCUGCCACGAAUUGACUUGUUGUUCGACCAGUUGUCCGGAGCUAAGGUCUUUUCAAAAAUCGACCUUCGGUCAGGGUACCACCAGAUUAAGAUAAAACCCGAAGACAUACCAAAAACAGCCUUUUCAACCCGAUAUGGACUAUAUGAGUACUUGGUUAUGUCUUUCGGACUGACAAAUGCCCCAGCGCAUUUUAUGUACCUCAUGAACUCAGUAUUCAUGCCGGAGUUAGAUAAAUUUGUGGUCGUCUUUAUAGACAAUAUCCUUGUCUUUUCUAAAAAUGAAGAGGAACAUGCGCAACACUUGUGCAUUGUUCUAAAUAGACUCCGGGAACACCAGUUGUAUGCCAAGUUCAGUAAGUGUGAAUUUUGGUUAAAGAAAGUUCCAUUCCUUGGGCACAUACUGUCCGAAAAAGGAAUCGAAGUAGAUCUCGGAAAGGUCAAGGAUAUACUGGAUUGGAAAUCACCAACCUCUGUUCAUGAAGUAAGAAGUUUCUUAGGAAUGGCCGGCUAUUACCGUAGAUUCAUCCCCAAUUUUUCAAAGGUUUCUAAACCAAUCACGGAAUUAUUAAAGAAGGAAAUAAAAUUUGAAUGGAAGCCUGAGUGUGAGGAAUCAUUCCAAGUCUUAAAGAAAUUGCUGACUACAGCCCCAGUGCUAGCUCAACCUGACAUAGAGAAACCCUUUGAUGUAUACUAUGAUGCCUCAGGGACAGGCAUAGGGUGUGUUCUGAUGCAAGAAGGCAGAGUUAUUGCUUAUGCUUCGCGUCAAUUGAAGCGGCAUGAAGAGCAUUACCCUACCCAUGAUUUAGAACUUGCUGCCGUAGUGCAUGCAUUAAAGAUAUGGCGACACUAUCUUUUAGGUAGUGAAUGUCGUAUCUUUACUGACCACAAAAGCUUGAAAUACAUCUUUACUCAAAUAGACUUGAACAUGAGGCAAAGGCGGUGGCUAGAACUGAUUAAAGAUUAUAAGUUAGAAAUCCAUUAUCAUCCUGGUAAGGCUAAUGUAGUGGCCGACGCCUUGAGCAGAAAGGCCCAAUGCCACUGCACUACCGUCCGGUCUAACCUUAAGACCUUGUGCGAGGAAAUGGAAGACUUGAGUUUGGAAAUGGUGAAACAAGGCACCCUUCAGAAUAUUAUGAUCCAAGAUACCCUAAAGGAAAAGAUUAUAACAGCCCAAAAAGAAGAUCCAUGGAUUAAGAUACUUUAUCAGCAAAAAGCCAAAGGGAAGAUCCCCGAAUUUAAUCAAGAAGAGGAUGGAGGACUGUACUUCAAGAACAGGAUAGUAGUUCCUAAAGAUGAGGACCUAAGAAGAUUAAUCUUAAAAGAAGCACAUCUGUCCAAGUUUGCCAUCCAUCCCGGAAGCAAUAAAAUGUACCAAGAUUUAAAGCAAAGAUGUUGGUGGGCCAGGAUGAAACCUGAAAUUGCAAGGUAUGUAGCUGAAUGUGAUACUUGCCAAAGAGUUAAGCCCAUACUACAAAAGUUGGCAGGUUUAUUACAACCUUCAGAAAUCCCUGUCUGGAAAUGGGAAGAUAUUUCUAUGGAUUUUAUAGUUGGAUUGCCUACCACAUCAAACGGGUAUGAUUCCAUCUGGGUUAUUGUCGACCACCUUACUAAGUCAGCUCACUUUAUUCCAGUCAAGACUACUUAUCCGGUGUCGACAUAUGCCAAGCUCUAUAUAGCCCGGAUCAUAUCCUUGCACGGAGUAGCAAAGACCAUUAUCUCUGAUCGAAGUUCCCAGUUUGUUUCCAGAUUCUGGGAACGAUUGCAAAAAGACAUGGGUACUACCCUAAUUAGAAGUUCUGCCUAUCAUCCUCAAACUGGAGGACAGACAGAAAGAGUCAAUCAAAUUUUGGAAGACAUGUUAAGAGCAUGUGUCCUUACCUUCUCUAAGCUAUGGGAUGAAUGUUUGCCCCUAGCCGAGUUCUCCUAUAAUAAUAGCUAUCAAGCUAGCAUUAAGAUGGCACCUUUCGAAGCCUUGUAUGGUCGAAGAUGCCGAACUCCUUUAAAUUGGUCAGGAGUAGGAGAAAGGACACAUUUGGGAUCAGACUUGGUUAUGAAAACUGAGGAGAAGGUCCAGAAGAUUCGCAAACAUUUAGAAGUAGCCCAGUCCCGACAAAAGAGUUAUUCGGACAAAAGGAGACGGUCCUUGGAAUUUCAUACCGGAGAUUUUGUGUACUUGAAGGUAUCUCCAAUGAAAGGAGUACAACGCUUUGGAGUGAAGGGUAAGUUAGCCCCAAGAUAUAUUGGUCCCUAUGCAAUUCUGGAACGAAAAGGUCCAGUGGCAUAUAAGCUGUCGUUGCCAGACCAACUUGCUUCUAUACAUGACGUAUUUCAUGUAUCCCAGCUCAAAAAGUGCUUAAGAGUUCUAGAAGAAGUUUUAGAAGAUCCAGAGAUUGAGCUCGAGUCCGAUCUAACCUAUGAAGAAAGACCUAUUAAAAUUCUGGAUCAAAAGACACGAGAUACCCGAACUCGGAGUAUCACGUUCUACAAGGUACAAUGGAAAAAUCAUACUCCGGAUGAAGCUACUUGGGAACAAGCUGAAGACCUAGAGUCUAAAUAUCUGGAAUUAUUUGAAACCGUCAGGAACAGAUGAACAAAAGCCACCACCCCACUAUCCUUGUACAGAAAAAGAAAGAAUAAUUGACCUGACGCAGUUUCCUUUCCAUUCUCAAAACCGAGGAUUUAACCCCGCGAAUCUCGGGACGAGAUUCUAUUAAGGGGGGGAGGCUGUAACAGCUGCCAAUUUAGUCAUCUAAGUGACUUUGAAAAAUUAAAAGCAAAUUGAGAAGAAAAGAAAAAGAAAUUAGUUGAAAAUCAAAUUCGGAUCAAAUUUGGCCAAAAUUUGAAUUUUGAAUUUGAAAUUCGGAAAAAUUCAGCAAAAAUGUGGAAUACAAGUGUAAGAGUAACCAGGACUUAAGGAUCAAAAAUUUGGAACAGAAAUGGUGCUAAAUAGCUCAGAGAAAUCAAAGAAAGAAAAAGGAAAACUGAAGUUACUGUUCCUCGUCUGAAAAUAGAAUUUCAGAAAAACAGCCUCAGAGUCCAUUUUGGAAAUUGAUUUCUGAAGAACUUUUCAAAUAAAUGCAUCAGGAAAACUAUACCAUGUUGAAGUAUGAACUUUGGGCUACAAGAUUUGGGUGUUGUUGGCCAGGAACAUGGAAGGGAACAAUUUUGAAAUCUAGCUCAAAUUCAGCACAUUGUCACAGUUGGCUGUCAUUGAAAAUGCUUAAGUCUGAAAAUAGCAGCAUCUGAUCAACUUUGGAUUUAAUUUCAGAGAGAUGGAGAUCAAAAGGUGUACAUGUUCAUGAGUAAAAUGGAACCUUGGGAUGUUGUAGAAUACAUUUGGGAAAAAGUUGGACUGGAAGAAAAAGAAUUAGGUCACUAAAUUGAUUCACCAAGUGAGAUCGACGUCACUGUCAGUUAACUGACGAACUGAAUUUUUGGAUUCAGUCAAAUUCAGACAGACACGAGAAACAAUUCCAAAAUUCGUCCGGUUUGAUGUUUAUCUCGGGGUAGAGCCAAAAUAAAAGUUGGAGGAUUCAAGUUUAUCUCCAACUUUGUUUCAGCAACUUGGGGACCCUUGGAUUGAAAAUCGACCGUGGGAGUACUCUGAAGUUUCGGGCGUUAAAAGAAAAGGGGGGGGGAGGCGGUGAUAGAGCAGCUGGACGUGUCGCCGCCGCCGUCGUCGGUCGCUCGCCAGCGCAGAUAGCUAGGCCACCUCCUCACAACGCAAGCCUACGAGUAGGCCACGGUGUCGCCCAUGCGCGCGGUGAACGCUUGAAUAACUACCGCUCCCGCGCCGCCGUUUCUACCGCUAUCUUUUUACCACCGCCGCUCCUCUGUCAAGCACCGCCGCCGAGCAAAAUUCCACCACCACGCCUCACCUCCCGUCGAUUCCUCUCGCCCACUCCUCCACAGACACCUCAGCUACACCCCAGCCAAGUUGUUGUCCAACAUCCAUGCCGGAGUAACCGUGCUCGCCGUUGUUUUUGUUCGCCGUCGCUGCGCCGCCCGCUCACGGUGAGCCCUACCUUGCGCUGUUCUCCAUCCUUCUUAAGUAGUCGUAGGCGAGUCCUUAAGGUCCUAGGGUGGUGUAGGAGUAGUUGUUCGAGUAGUUUGUGCCGUCGUCGUGAGUAGUCGCGAUCGGUCGGAGGUGUCGCCGCUCGUCGCCGUGGAGGGAAUGGCUCCGGCCAUCUCCCGAGGAGCUGUUGCCGCGCACGGGUGUGUGAAGGUGUAGAGGUGCUGUCUGGGCCUAGCUUCGCCGCCGGUGGGGCGCCGGCCGACGAGUCGCGCCGCCCCCUGUUGCGCGCGCGUUUUGGCGGGAGGAGGAAGAAGCUCCUGGGCGCUUGGGCCCGCGUGGCAGAGAGAGGAAGGAGAGGAAGGGGAGAAGGGGGCUGGGCGCGCGGCCGUCUGUUGGGCUGCGGCCUUGAGGCCCAGUAGCGUGCGUGCGGGCGACCGGAAGAAAAAAAGGGCGAAGGCCCAGAGAUCCAGUAGGCCGGUUUCGCGGGAAAAGAAGAAAAGAAAGGAUGGGCCGUUGGGCCGAUGUUGGACCAGAGAAAAGAAAAGAAAAAGAGAAUUGGCCCACGAGGCCCGUUAAGGGAAGAAUGGGGCCGGCGGGUAAGUGGAGCAGUGUUUAGGUGGGUCCGCAUCGUGGGACCUAGUGCGCAUGAGAGGGGGUAGAGUGGGGCUGGGUAAGAAACGUUUUUCCAGGUGUUUUUCGGGAAAAUUAGAUAUCCUUUAGGAAAGUAAUUAGUUUAAAUCCGUUUUACACCAUUUAAAUCACAGAAAUUUCUAGGAGUGUCCAAAAUUAGUGAAACCAAUUUUGUUAGGCUUGUUUUAUUUUCCUUUAUGCAUUAAAAUUUUUACACCCUAGAAAAAUAAUAAAAAUUUGGGUAUUUAUUUAAUGCCUUCUUUUUAAGGUAAUUAAAUAAAUACUUAAUAUUUAUAAAAUGUAUAAAAUAUGAAAUAACACUUUCUUAAUCACAAAUUAU